CCAGGCUUUUCCUAAGUGGGUGAACUGGCCACAUCUAAACUGUGAGCUGGUGGUGGGGAUGUCCAGACAGUUUGGGGUUGUGAGGACAAAAUAGAGAGAUGGUCAUCAGGGUGGCUUCCCCAGAGAUGUGUCAUCAGUAGGUAGGACAAGCUGAAAAUCCACAUCCAGAAGCACACGGGGGAGCGGCCCUACCUGUACAUCCAUUGCAACACCAAGUUCGUGCACAAGUAUGACCUCAAGAACCACAUGUGCAUCCACACGGCUCUCCAGAGGAGAACGCUGACUCGGCAGCCCACCAGAUGCCAUUUCAUCCAGAGGGAAUUGCUUCUGACACCCUCUUGUCUUCAGAUGCCAUCGUUCUGGGCAGCCACCUCUUGGAUGCCCAUCUCCGUCUCUGACACUUGCUUCUGGGACCCAUCCGCCAACAUGCCCACGUUCCCCUCCAUCGACCAAGGGAUUGGGGCUGACCCGCACUUUAAAAAGAAAACACAGAAAAAUGAACACAUUGGAAUCCAGUAGUGUUGGGGCUUUUGUUUUUAUUUUGUAAAGGUAAUGAUUUCUUAUAAACUCAGUUUUUCAGGCAACUGGUUCUUUUCGUUUUCUCAUUUGGCUGCAGUGUGGAGUUGUACAUUGUAAAAUAUCCCAAGAUCUUGAGAACUGUAAGAUGGAGAAGAACUCUACGCAAAUGGGUUGUGGGGGGUGGGGUGGUUGUGUUUCGUUUUGGUUCUUUUUGUUUCUCUUUCUUUCCUCC
rnacentral:lncRNA from 1 species